UUGUUAUAUGACAGGAGAUAAGGUUAGCACUCCCUUUAAUAAGGUGGAAGAGGUCCUAGUGGCUUUUACAACACAUAAACAGUUAAGGCAUUGCCACCUACUCUGUGUCAUCUAACCAGU
rnacentral:ncRNA from 1 species